CUCCUACGGGAGGCAGCAGUGGGGAAUAUUGGACAAUGGGCGAAAGCCUGAUCCAGCCAUGCCGCGUGUGUGAAGAAGGUCUUCGGAUUGUAAAGCACUUUAAGUUGGGAGGAAGGGCAUUAACCUAAUACGUUGGUGUCUUGACGUUACCGACAGAAUAAGCACCGGCUAACUCUGUGCCAGCAGCCGCGGUAAUA
rnacentral:rRNA from 1 species